rnacentral:lncRNA from 1 species
UAAGUUAACGCGCUGAUUCAAACAGGAAUCUAGCCGGCUGGUUGGUUGGAUCACUAGUGCUACUGAUAAACCCUCAUUUAAAUUCUAAUAGAACCCAUCUCACAAAAAUUUUCAGAUAAUUUGUACAGUCAGUCUUUUGUAACUCUUUUGUUUUUUCUUUCACAAUCUUCCAUAAGACAUCUUGCCCAGGAAUCGCAGGACCAGACCAGAUUGGCAGAACUACCAAAAGAAAAAGUCCCCAAACCCUAAGAAAAGAAGAAGAUAGA